rnacentral:tRNA from 1 species
GAAAGAGGCCAAGGGUAAUAGAGACUGCUAAUCCCUAUCACCGCGGUUAAACUCCGCGGCUCAUUCA